rnacentral:rRNA from 1 species
UACGUAGGGUGCGAGCGUUAAUCGGAAUUACUGGGCGUAAAGGGUGCGCAGGCGGUUCUGCAAGUCAGGCGUGAAAGCCCCGGGCUUAACCUGGGAAUGGCGCUUGAAACUACAGGACUGGAGUAUGGCAGAGGGAGGUGGAAUUCCGCGUGUAGCAGUGAAAUGCGUAGAGAUGCGGAGGAACACCGAUGGCGAAGGCAGCCCCCUGGGCCAAUACUGAUGCUCAGGCACGAAAGCGUGGGGAGCAAACAGG